UGGACUGAGGGCCUGCAUGCC
rnacentral:misc_RNA from 1 species